rnacentral:rRNA from 1 species
GAUGAACGCUAGCGGCAGGCUUAAUACAUGCAAGUCGAGGGGCAGCAUGGUGUAGCAAUACACUGAUGGCGACCGGCAAACGGGUGCGGAACACGUACACAACCUCCCUUCAAGCGGGGCAUAGCCCAGAGAAAUUUGGAUUAAUACCCCAUAGAAUAUUGGAAAGGCAUCUUUUUGAUAUUAAAGAUUUAUCACUUGAAGAUGGGUGUGCGGCUGAUUAGGUAGUUGGCGGGGUAACGGCCCACCAAGCCUUCGAUCAGUAACUGGUGUGAGAGCACGACCAGUCACACGGGGACUGAGACACGGGCCCGACUCCUACGGGAGGCAGCAGUAAGGAAUAUUGGUCAAUGGACGAAAGUCUGAACCAGCCAUGCCGCGUGGAGGAUGAAGGUCCUCUGGAUUGUAAACUUCUUUUAUAUGGGACGAAAAAGGGGCUUUCUAGCUCAACUGACGGUACCAUAUGAAUAAGCACCGGCUAACUCUGUGCCAGCAGCCGCCGUAAGAC